AACGAACGCUGGCGGCAGGCUUAACACAUGCAAGUCGAACGAGACCUUCGGGUCUAGUGGCGCACGGGUGAGUAACGCGUGGGAAUCUACCUUGGAGUUCGGGAUAACAGUUGGAAACGACUGCUAAUACCGGAUACGCCCUGUGGGGGAAAGGUUUACUGCUCCAAGACGAGCCCGCGUCCAAUUAGGUAGUUGGUGGGGUAAAGGCCUACCAAGCCGACGAUUGGUAGCUGGUCUGAGAGGAUGGCCAGCCACACUGGGACUGAGACACGGCCCAGACUCCUACGGGAGGCAGCAGUGGGGAAUAUUGGACAAUGGGGGCAACCCUGAUCCAGCCAUGCCGCGUGAGUGAUGAAGGCCUUAGGGUUGUAAAGCUCUUUCGCCGGUGACGAUGAUGACGGUAACCGGAGAAGAAGCCCCGGCUAACUUCGUG
rnacentral:rRNA from 1 species